AAAUUGAAGAGUUUGAUCAUGGCUCAGAUUGAACGCUGGCGGCAGGCCUAACACAUGCAAGUCGAGCGGUAGCACAGAGAGCUUGCUCUCGGGUGACGAGCGGCGGACGGGUGAGUAAUGUCUGGGAAACUGCCUGAUGGAGGGGGAUAACUACUGGAAACGGUAGCUAAUACCGCAUAACGUCGCAAGACCAAAGUGGGGGACCUUCGGGCCUCAUGCCAUCAGAUGUGCCCAGAUGGGAUUAGCUAGUAGGUGGGGUAAUGGCUCACCUAGGCGACGAUCCCUAGCUGGUUUGAGAGGAUGACCAGCCACACUGGAACUGAGACACGGUCCAGACUCCUACGGGAGGCAGCAGUGGGGAAUAUUGCACAAUGGGCGCAAGCCUGAUGCAGCCAUGCCGCGUGUGUGAAGAAGGCCUUCGGGUUGUAAAGCACUUUCAGCGGGGAGGAAGGCGUUAAGGUUAAUAACCUUGGCGAUUGACGUUACCCGCAGAAGAAGCACCGGCUAACUCCGUGCCAGCAGCCGCGGUAAUACGGAGGGUGCAAGCGUUAAUCGGAAUUACUGGGCGUAAAGCGCACGCAGGCGGUCUGUCAAGUCGGAUGUGAAAUCCCCGGGCUCAACCUGGGAACUGCAUUCGAAACUGGCAGGCUAGAGUCUUGUAGAGGGGGGUAGAAUUCCAGGUGUAGCGGUGAAAUGCGUAGAGAUCUGGAGGAAUACCGGUGGCGAAGGCGGCCCCCUGGACAAAGACUGACGCUCAGGUGCGAAAGCGUGGGGAGCAAACAGGAUUAGAUACCCUGGUAGUCCACGCCGUAAACGAUGUCGAUUUGGAGGUUGUGCCCUUGAGGCGUGGCUUCCGGAGCUAACGCGUUAAAUCGACCGCCUGGGGAGUACGGCCGCAAGGUUAAAACUCAAAUGAAUUGACGGGGGCCCGCACAAGCGGUGGAGCAUGUGGUUUAAUUCGAUGCAACGCGAAGAACCUUACCUGGUCUUGACAUCCACAGAACUUUCCAGAGAUGGAUUGGUGCCUUCGGGAACUGUGAGACAGGUGCUGCAUGGCUGUCGUCAGCUCGUGUUGUGAAAUGUUGGGUUAAGUCCCGCAACGAGCGCAACCCUUAUCCUUUGUUGCCAGCGGUUAGGCCGGGAACUCAAAGGAGACUGCCAGUGAUAAACUGGAGGAAGGUGGGGAUGACGUCAAGUCAUCAUGGCCCUUACGACCAGGGCUACACACGUGCUACAAUGGCAUAUACAAAGAGAAGCGACCUCGCGAGAGCAAGCGGACCUCAUAAAGUAUGUCGUAGUCCGGAUUGGAGUCUGCAACUCGACUCCAUGAAGUCGGAAUCGCUAGUAAUCGUAGAUCAGAAUGCUACGGUGAAUACGUUCCCGGGCCUUGUACACACCGCCCGUCACACCAUGGGAGUGGGUUGCAAAAGAAGUAGGUAGCUUAACCUUCGGGAGGGCGCUUACCACUUUGUGAUUCAUGACUGGGGUGAAGUCGUAACAAGGUAACCGUAGGGGAACCUGCGGUUGGAUCACCUCCUUA
rnacentral:rRNA from 1 species